rnacentral:lncRNA from 1 species
UUUGUGCUAAACCUGUUCACAUCGAAAAUUGUGCUAUUCCUGAUAUGGUUAGUCCUUUGAACUGCUUCAAUAUCCUUUUUCACGUUAAAAAAGAAGGGUCUAACUAUUGUGGUAUGGUGGUACCAUACCACAGCUGCACCUAACCAUUGAAUUCAGCUAUAGUACAGCUGCACCUAACCAUUGAAUUCAGCUAUAGUACAUGUGUCCAGAUCUAAUGGUUAGGUGCAGUUGCACCGUAGUUUUGUCCCAAAAAGAAUUCAUAAUUGAGUGUUCUCCAUUAAUGAUGCUGCAAGCUGUCAGUUAUGGUCCCCUUGUGACCCUUUUUAAUCUCCUGGGAUACAAAGCUAUUCAGCCAUACAAUCUCAACUCUUUGAACACAAUCCGAUUGUUUAUAGGAUCCCUCUAAGUUACAUGCACGUACCUUACAACCCUCUCACAUGAAUAGUGAGUGGACCCACAUCAUUCACUAUUCAUGUGAGAGGGUUGUAAGGUACAUGCAUGUAACUUAGCAUUAGCCUUGUUUAUAUCAUCCUAAAAUCUUUUGAUAACUUGAUUGAGCUAAAUAGUUUAUGUAAAUCGUCUCAACAAUAUAUAUAUAUAUUUAUUUAGUGUUGUACUGGAAGGAUCUAUCAGUUGUGUAUAGUACUCCAAUUUACAUCUAAAAUUUUUGUCUUUGGAAGUGUCUGCAUCCGCAAAUAUGCAGUGGGGAUGCCUUAUUUGACAGUUGUACUGGUACUGACUAUAUUAAAAAUGGAAACAGAGAAGUCUCAGUGGAAUCAAGCGAAAAAGAUCGACUGAUUUACCAGCAUUUUAUGUGCAAAUCAUUUUCAGCUUUGGCUGUGGCUUCCAAUUUCUUUCAAAUAGGAAACUAGAAAAGCAUCCUCAAGUUCAAAGAUUUAUUAAAUCCUACAAAAUCUUGGCCGUUGAUAUAUACUAAAUCUAAUCGCCAGAAAUUAGUGUAAAAAUAUGUAUAAUUUUAGGGGGUUGCCGAUUCGUCCCAUAUGUAUAUAUAGCACUUUCAGCGGCGGCUAUAGUUGAUUGUUGACACCGAAGUUGCUUUUUUGAGAAUUAGCUUAUGUGACAGCCAGCUGCUACCACUUCAGCUCAUUGGAAAAACGAAAUGCCUGUAACAUGCAAAUAUUGAGUUGUUAAGUGGCAAAUUUCGAACAUGAUGUUAUCCUUAUAAUUUAGUGCAAACGAG